rnacentral:rRNA from 1 species
GACGAACGCUGGCGGCGUGCCUAAUACAUGCAAGUAGAACGCUGAAGAGAGGAGCUUGCUCUUCUUGGAUGAGUUGCGAACGGGUGAGUAACGCGUAGGUAACCUGCCUUGUAGCGGGGGAUAACUAUUGGCAACGAUAGCUAAUACCGCAUAACAAUGGAUGACACAUGUCAUUUAUUUGAAAGGGGCAAUUGCUCCACUACAAGAUGGACCUGCGUUGUAUUAGCUAGUAGGUGAGGUAACGGCUCACCUAGGCGACGAUACAUAGCCGACCUGAGAGGGUGAUCGGCCACACUGGGACUGAGACACGGCCCAGACUCCUACGGGAGGCAGCAGUAGGGAAUCUUCGGCAAUGGGGGCAACCCUGACCGAGCAACGCCGCGUGAGUGAAGAAGGUUUUCGGAUCGUAAAGCUCUGUUGUAAGUCAAGAACGAGUGUGAGAGUGGAAAGUUCACACUGUGACGGUAGCUUACCAGAAAGGGACGGCUAACUACGUGCCAGCAGCCGCGGUAAUACGUAGGUCCCGAGCGUUGUCCGGAUUUAUUGGGCGUAAAGCGAGCGCAGGCGGUUUGAUAAGUCUGAAGUUAAAGGCUGUGGCUCAACCAUAGUUCGCUUUGGAAACUGUCAAACUUGAGUGCAGAAAGGGAGAGUGGAAUUCCAUGUGUAGCGGUGAAAUGCGUAGAUAUAUGGAGGAACACCGGUGGCGAAAGCGGCUCUCUGGUCUGUAACUGACGCUGAGGCUCGAAAGCGUGGGGGGCGAACAGGAUUAGAUACCCUGGUAGUCCACGCCGUAAACGAUGAGUGCUAGGUGUUGGAUCCUUUCCGGGAUUCAGUGCCGCAGCUAACGCAUUAAGCACUCCGCCUGGGGAGUACGACCGCAAGGUUGAAACUCAAAGGAAUUGACGGGGGCCCGCACAAGCGGUGGAGCAUGUGGUUUAAUUCGAAGCAACGCGAAGAACCUUACCAGGCCUUGACAUCCCGAUGCUAUUUCUAGAGAUAGAAAGUUACUUCGGUACAUCGGUGACAGGUGGUGCAUGGUUGUCGUCAGCUCGUGUCGUGAGAUGUUGGGUUAAGUCCCGCAACGAGCGCAACCCCUAUUGUUAGUUGCCAUCAUUCAGUUGGGCACUCUAGCGAGACUGCCGGUAAUAAACCGGAGGAAGGUGGGGAUGACGUCAAAUCAUCAUGCCCCUUAUGACCUGGGCUACACACGUGCUACAAUGGUUGGUACAACGAGUUGCGAGUCGGUGACGGCAAGCUAAUCUCUUAAAGCCAAUCUCAGUUCGGAUUGUAGGCUGCAACUCGCCUACAUGAAGUCGGAAUCGCUAGUAAUCGCGGAUCAGCACGCCGCGGUGAAUACGUUCCCGGGCCU